rnacentral:rRNA from 1 species
CACAAGCAGCGGAGCAUGUGGUUUAAUUCGAAGCAACGCGAAGAACCUUACCAGAUCUUGACAUCCAAUUGACCAUCUUUUAUCGAGAUUUUGCCUUCGGGUACAAUUGAGACAGGUGGUGCAUGGUUGUCGUCAGCUCGUGUCGUGAGAUGUUGGGUUAAGUCCCGCGACGAGCGCAACCCUUGUGUUUAGUUGCAAACAGGUCAAGCUGUGCACUCUAGACAGACUGCCGUGGACAACACGGAGGAAGGUGGGGAUGACGUCAAAUCAUCAUGCCCCUUAUGAUCUGGGCUACACACGUGCUACAAUGGCCGGUACAACGGGCAGCGAAGGAGCGAUCCGGAGCGAAUCCUAAAAGCCGGUCCCAGUUCGGAUUGCAGGCUGAAACUCGCCUACAUGAAGUUGGAGUUGCUAGUAAUCGCGAAUCAGAAUGUCGCGGUGAAUGCGUUCCCGGGUCUU